ACAACCUAGCCAUUCGGGCCUGCUGCCAGAGUGAACACCACAGGGAUGUGUCAGGAAUUGGUGGGUUCUUGGUCUCACUGACUUCAAGAAUGAAGCCGCGGACCCUCGCGCCCAACUUCUUUCCAGAUGAUUCCGAAAAUCGCAUUUCUUGCUUCAGCCUCUCUCCUAAGAACCACAGGUCAUUCCCACUGCCUUUGCUGGAUGUGUGUCCCUGGAAGAAGGUGGCCUGCUUCUCAAACCUGGCUUGACCCACACGAAACUCAACCUCACAUCACUCCAGGUUUCCCCCAGACAAUCGCACAGUACCCCUAACUCCACUUAAUUAGCUCCUCACGCUCUGAAUCACAGAAAGGCAAACUUGCUAACAAAGAGGCGGCCCGCCCGCGUGCGGGCUUCCUGGGCGCGUCCCGCUGGCCAGGUGAGUAGAUCAGGCACCGCAGCGGGGCGCGGGGCGGGCUGGAGGCGCGCGGACACUCCCCCGGCCGGCAAGGAAGGGGC